rnacentral:rRNA from 1 species
AGGGUCAUUGUCAACUGGGAGACUUGAGUGCCGAUGAGGAAAGUGGAAUUCCUUGUGUAGCGGUGAAAUGCGUAGAGAUAUGGAGGAACACCAGUGGCGAAGGCGACUUUCUGGUCUGUAACUGACACUGAGGCGCGAAAGCGUGGGGAGCAAACAGGAUUAUAUACCCUGGUAGUCCACGCCGUAAACGAUGAGUGCUAAGUGUUAGAGGGUUUCCGCCCUUUAGUGCUGAAGUUAACGCAUUAAUCACUCCGCCUGGGGAGUACGGCCGCAAGGCUGAAACUCAAAGGAAUUGACGGGGGCCCGCACAAGCGGUGGAGCAUGUGGUUUAAUUCGAAUCUUCGCGAAGAACCUUACCAGGUCUUGACAUCGUGGUGAGAACCCUAGAGAUAGGGCUUCCCCUUUCGGGGCAGAGUGACAGGUGGUGCAUGGUUGUCCUCAGCUCGUGU